rnacentral:sRNA from 1 species
CACAUCCGUGCGGAACAUUCUCGUAGUAGUGGGGCGCAUCGGCCACGUGGGAUAACGACCCGCGAAGGUAGGCUGGUGCGCGCAAACAGGUCCCUGAUGGGGCCUUUUUUAUUGCCGAG